UAGGUAGAUUGCACCGUUUAGUGUGAGUGAGGUCUGCAGUGAAAUCACAUGGGUGCAUCUCUGCUAUCAGCUCUGCAACAAAAAGUUGUGCUGUGUAAAACAGGACAGCAAAAGCUGGAGAAGGAUAGGAAUGGAAAAAAAAAGUCCAGUAUAAAUAAAGAGACAAGCGAGAAAGAGGUGGGAGGGAUGGGAACGGAAAGAAGGAUGAGGGUGAGACGAUACGAGGUGAGAUUAACAAAAAGAGGAUCAAGUGCUAAGGGGGAAGGAGUGACAUCAGCGGUGACAUCAGAAGGGAGAAAGAUUUAUGGAGGGGGCUGGAGAAUAUCUCAGCUGUCGUGGGGGAAGAGGGAGGACACACCCUGGACAAGACGUCAGUCUGUCCCAGGCAGGCAACAGGCAACCAUUCAAUCCCACAACCAAUUUAGAAUCACCAAUUAAACUAACCCAUGCAUGUUUUUGGACUGUGGGAGGAUGCUGGAGUACCCAGAAAGAACCCACACAAGCACAGGCAGAACAUGCAAUCACCAAACAGAAAGGCCAGAGCCACGAAUUGAACCUAGGAUCUUUUUACUGUGAGGCAACAGUGCUAACCACCAUCACCACUGCACCAGCCCAACUAAACUCAUGACAGGAAGUAGCUCCCCCUAAUUUCUACCUAAUGCUUAAUUCAUGGUCACCACAUUGGUUGCUGCAUGUGCCAGCUGUGACAUCAUCACAGAAUCAUCACUAUUCAGUUGAUUCAUACUAAAUUUUUUGCAGUCUUCUGAGCGACAGGUGUCAAAGGAACAAGUGAAGAAACACUUUAUAAUAUGUAUGUGUCUAAGGGUGUACUUCCCCUGUUAUUGAAUGGAAUUUCAAAGUAUUUUAUCUGAAACUAAAAUGUAUAUAUAUUUACCUACAAAUACGUAAAGGUACCCCACAAUAAUAGGGUAAAGUAAAAGUAAAGUAAGACCGUUUAAAUAGUGUGUAAGUAAUUUUAAUUAAUUCAUUAGCAAUUUUACAUAGCUUCAGGUAUUUUACAAGAAAGAAGAAAUAAUUACAUUGAAGGUCAAUUUAGGUAAUGCAUAAAUAAUUAAAUAAGUGAAUAGGAAAGAAGUGCCUAAAUUCUGGCUACUUUACAGGAAAGGAGACACACACAAUACUAUAAGCAAUUUUAAGUAACUUCAUGUAUUUUACAGGAAAGAAAAAAUAAUUAGAUUGUAAGUAAUUUAGGUACUGCAUAAGUAUUUUUAAGUAGUACAUCUAGGUAUGGUGUAUAUUUGUCCAUGAUGGAUGUUAUAUUUU
ensembl:lncRNA